rnacentral:lncRNA from 1 species
ACCAAUGCAAUUCAUCCAAUGAUAAAUUUUAUUCGAAUUAUUAUAGAGCUAUAACACAAUCAAACUUGAAUGAACGAGAUGUUGAAUCAAAUCGUAUCGUACAGUUCUCUAUUAGGGGUUAUUAUUCAAUUUUGUAUUUGUUCUUUUAUUUUCCAAUUAUUUCUUCAAUUAAGAAAAAAAUAGUAAUAAAAUAUUAAAUAAUAGUAGGAAUUUAAUGUAUUUGGGUAAUAAAAUAAAAGAAUUCUUUUUUGCAGUCUUAUUUGUAAUCACUGAAUUUUGUCCGGGAAUAAUUUUGUGUUAAAAAAAUAAAAAAAUUUAAAAAAAUUGCAUUUUGACCCCUGUACUUUCUCGAAAUUACAUUUCAACCCCUAAACUUUUAUAAAUUACUUUUGACCCCUAAAUUUUCUCAAAAUUACCUUUCGACCCCUAAACUUUUUCUAAAUUACGUUUCGGCCCCAAAACUUUUGCUGUAUUUACAUUUUGGUCCCUCUGACAGCAAUCAGCCCAACUUGCGCCUGCAACGGCGGCGGCCGGCCUACCUCUCCCUAGCCCACUUGCUACCUGCAAAAAAAGAAGACAACAUCAAAAUAAAAUGGGUUUUAAAACCCCCAAAGCAAAAAAAAAAGGGGGGAAGGAAGGAAGGAGGAAGGAAAAAAAAAAAACAAAAGCUUUGAGCAAAAAAAAAAUAAAAAAAACAGCAGCCCACCGCCGGCCGUCGCACCAGCGCCACCGUGCCCACCACCGUAGCACCACCAUCACCUAUCCCUAGCAAAGCAAGCAAGAAUCCAAGAAACAACAAGCAAAAUCUAAAAAAAAAAAAGAGAGAGAACCCAAAAAAAGAGUCAAAGAAACAGCAGCCAAUAGUUGAUUUUAGAGGAGGAGAAAAUGCUUACCGUUGAGCCGCCGACCACCGAGCAAGUAGAGGAGCCGAGGACGACCACGGCGGCGUUGUUUUCGACUUAAGGGGGUGGCCGGAUCACCAAAGAAAGAGGAGAUAGAAGAAGGAGAAGAAGGAAGAAAAAGAAAGAAAAAGAAGGAGAAAAAGAGAGAAAAAAAGAGAGAAAAAAGAAAAAAAAAGAAAAGAGAAAAAGCAAAAUCAACAGUUGGGUCAAACCGACCCGACCCGAUCCGGCGAACCGACCCAACCCAGCAAGCCCAUUAGUCAAACCCCCCAGGCCCGAAAAAAAAAACAGCAAAGCAAAAAAAAAAAAAAAAAAAACAAAGCAGAAAAAAGAAAGAAGCAGCCCAAAGCCCAGCGGCCCAGCAACAGCCAGGCCCAGUGCGCAGGCAGCCCAGCAGCAGCCAGCAGGUGCACAGGCCCAACAGGCCGGCCCAGCAGAGAAGAAAAAAAAAACAGAAGAAAAAAAGAAGAAAGAAAAAAAGAAAAGGGUUCAAUUUGGUAACCCGUUCGACCAAGCUCGUGUUUUGGAUCGUUUCGGUAAUCUCAUUUAUU